CCAUUGGUUCCAUGCAGCACGGUGUCUGGAAGUCGCACGUCAUGCCGUGUGAAGGUGGAAUAUGCAGCAUAGCGUGUGACCCCCGUACACAGCGCUGCGUCUCCAGCCAGCCAUAGG